rnacentral:rRNA from 1 species
CACUCUGAUCAGCCAUGCCGCGUGCAGGAAGACGGCCCUAUGGGUUGUAAACUGCUUUUAUACGGGAAGAACCACAUCUACGUGUAGAUGCUUGACGGUACCGUAUGAAUAAGGACCGGCUAACUCCGUGCCAGCAGCCGCGGUAAUACGGAGGGUCCAAGCGUUAUCCGGAAUCAUUGGGUUUAAAGGGUCCGUAGGCGGGAUAAUAAGUCAGUGGUGAAAGUCUGCAGCUCAACUGUAGAAUUGCCAUUGAUACUGUUGUUCUUGAAUUAUUAUGAAGUGGUUGGAAUGAGUAGUGUAGCGGUGAAAUGCAUAGAUAUUACUCAGAACACCUAUUGCGAAGGCAGAUCACUAAUAAUAUAUUGACGCUGAGGGACGAAAGCGUAGGUAGCGAACAGGAUUAGAUACCCUGGUAGUCUACGCCGUAAACGAUGGUUACUAGCUGUUCGGCUCGAUUGAGAGCUGAGUGGUUAAGCGAAAGUGAUAAGUAACCCACCUGGGGAGUACGUUCGCAAGAAUGAAACUCAA